rnacentral:rRNA from 1 species
AGAACGAACGCUGGCGGCAUGCCUAACACAUGCAAGUCGAACGCUUGUCCGGCUUCGGCCGGGCAGGAGUGGCGCACGGGUGAGUAGCGCGUGGGAACCUGCCCUGUUGUGGGGGAUAACCGAGGGAAACUUCGGCUAAUACCGCAUGCGCCCGGGGAAACCCGGGGAAAGAUUUAUCGCAGCAGGAGGGGCCCGCGUCGGAUUAGGUAGUUGGUAGGGUAACGGCCUACCAAGCCUGUGAUCCGUAGCUGGUCUGAGAGGAUGAUCAGCCACACUGGGACUGAGACACGGCCCAGACUCCUACGGGAGGCAGCAGUGGGGAAUAUUGGACAAUGGGCGCAAGCCUGAUCCAGCAAUGCCGCGUGAGUGAUGAAGGCCUUAGGGUUGUAAAGCUCUUUCGCCCGCGACGAUGAUGACGGUAGCGGGAGAGAAGCCCCGGCUAACUUCGUGCCAGCAGCCGC